rnacentral:sRNA from 1 species
UAAUUUAAAUAGAAAAAGAGGACAUGCUCGAUACAUGCCCUCUAAUGUAGAACCGUUUAAGACGGUAGCAAAUUUGAUUACUAAAAA